rnacentral:rRNA from 1 species
CUUUCUCCGCCGGCGACCGGCGCACGGGUGAGUAACACGUAUGCAACCUGCCCCUGUCAGGGGGACAACCCGCCGAAAGGCGGGCUAAACCCGCGUACAUGCCACCGGGGCAUCCCGGAGGCAGGAAAAGGCUUCGGCCGGACAGGGAUGGGCAUGCGGCGCAUUAGGCAGUAGGCGGGGUAACGGCCCACCUAACCGACGAUGCGUAGGGGUUCUGAGAGGAAGGUCCCCCACACUGGUACUGAGACACGGACCAGACUCCUACGGGAGGCAGCAG